rnacentral:lncRNA from 1 species
UGGGAAGGCGGUUGUUGGUUCGGCAUUGUAACAUUUAGAUCGUAACGGUUUUUUUGGUGUCUAUUGUUUUGUGAUUUUUGUGAAAGAUCAGGUUUAAGGAGCUGUGGUGAUAAAAUUUCCCAACACAAAAGAAAAAGACAUGGAAGCAGUAAUCAAAGACUGGCUGAAGUCUUCAAAAAUUCGGUUUACCAGCAAAGAAAAAUCUAAGUUGCAGACACAAUAUUACCAGAAGAUAAACUGAUCCUUGCAGGAAAUGUCAAAAUUAGGAAAGCUGGAGAUUCCCAGUUCACUAAAAAUUUAUGCUCAUUGUUGUGGGAUCCAGAAGUCCUCGAAAAAAGAAGCGUAACUGGACGAAAAUCGAACGUCCACAAGGACUUCCAAGCAAAAACAAUGUUGACACCCCAAAAAAUGGAUAGUUUAAGAAAAAUGUUCAAACGACGGAUCCUCGAGGAGAAUCCGAAUGCUUCGAGAAGUGAGAUGGAAUUAAGAUGCGCUAGCAUUAACCAGUACGUUGCUCAAAAGAUCGCAACCCUGAACAGAAAAAGCUUCAAAUCUCCUGGAGCACACCCAGAUAAGGACAUAUUAAUUCAUGAAUAAUAUAUAUGUAAUGUAAUGUUUCUUCAUAAAUAAUAUAAUAAUAUAUGAGCUACAUACUUUAAUAAACAAUUUUGCAUUUUA